rnacentral:lncRNA from 1 species
UUGUCUAAUACACAUGGAAAGACUAAAUCACAAGAGGAAAUUUUUCCUGUGACUUCUAGCAACGGUUACCGUGAUGAAAUUUGGGAACCAUAAAAUCAAAGAAAUCUAACCACCUAGCCAAUGCCUGAGACAUCUAUAUUACCAAAUGUUCUCCAAAUCUGCCAGACUCAGUGAACUCCCAGCGUUAUGGUACACUUGAAAGAGUACACAUGACAAGCCAGAAGGAUGAAAAGAACGUGGAAUGGAUAUGUUGAUUCAUACCUUUACAUAAUGGAAAUGAGCUGAGAAGCCUUUACAACAGCAGGAACACUAGCCAGACUUCUGCCAAUCGCUAAUAUGUGACUUUGAGCAAAUUUCAAAGCCAAGAUGUGGAAACAGAAACUGUGCAUUAUAUAAACAAGGCUUGUUACCUCAGACCCAAAGAGAGCCUUGGUCAAACAAUAGUCAAUCAAUAGUCUUCUCAGCAGGUGGAUCAUAGAUUCAAGGCGACAGAUGCUGAUGCAAAGAAUGAGGACACACAGCUGUUAUGAGACACACAUGCGUACUGCUGGUCAAAGCCAACCAUCUCCCGCUUUUUCAACUGUGGAGCUGAUGCAAUCCCAUGGGGGAACCUGUCUGGUAUCCAGAGGAAAAUAGCAUGGAAUGAGAGUCUUAGGAGAAGAAAUAGCCCAAGUCCAGUGAUGGUUAAGAAGGUUGGUGAAUUUGGGAACCCCCAGAUCUCCCGUGUGCGCCGCCAAACCCAGUGAACAAUAUGUCAGCUUGAAAACAC